GCAUUCCUCUGGCCACUCAUCAGCCAGGGUGGCUUCAGGGUUCUUCCCUCUUAUUCCCCAUCAAGACUUACCUGGCUAGGCUGUCAGCCCAUCGCUUCUAUUCCCUGGUCAGAGGAGAGCCGAACCCCAGCUGUUUGAAUCAUUCCUGCUAAACCCCGGACAUUCUGCAGUCACAUGCUCUGCCCCCUGAGCUAUACCCCCUUCACCUAAACCCUAGACAUUCUGGAGCAGAGACCAAUAAUUCCUAAAGAGUCCUGCCCAAAGUUCAGGUUCGUGAGCAAAAUAAAUGAUUACUGUUUUAAGCCACUAAGUUCUGAGAACUUAGUUUGUUACCAAAGCAAUGGAUAACUGGAACAUUUGUAUAUAAAUAUGGCAAUUUAGGUAAGCACAAUGAAUAUUCAUGAGGUGGUAGUUCACAUAUAUGUAUAUGAUAAGAAUCACAAGAAUGAAGUCCAAAGCACCUUACAAAUAGAAGAAAUUGUUAAUUACUAGGAUGGCUCAUAUUCUUCUUAUUGUUAUUCUCAUGACAAACACAAGUAGUUUCCUCAGUCCUAGCCAGGACUUCACGCUUCUUCAGUAAGAACUUCUGGACAAAACAAUCACAGAGAGAACCUUGGUUGGGCCAUAGGUACUUAUUACUAUAAUUAUUAUUAUUUUUUGUUUGCUUGUUUUUUGAGAUUCAGUCUUGCUCUUGUCAUCCAGGCUGGAGUGCAGUGGCACGAUCUCAGCUCUCUGCAAGCUCCGCGUCCUGGGUUCAAGUGAUUCUCCUGCCUCAGCCUCCCAAGUAGCUGGGACUACAGGUGCCCGCCACCACACUCAGCUAAUUUUUGUAUUUUUAGUAGAGAUGGGGUUUCACCAUGUUGGCCAGGAUGGUCUCGAUGUCCUGACCUUGUGAUCUGCCCGCCUCAGCCUCCCAAAGUGCUGGGAUUACAGGCGUGAGCCACCGCGCCCGGCUAGGUACUUGCUAAGUGUGAACAGGUUUCGCCAAUUAUCUUCCAUCAUCACCCUCUCCCCAACUGGCUGCCGUUUCCACCUGUGAUAGAUCAGUGUUACACAUGUGCAUUUUCCAGAACUCCCAGCUGUGAGGCUGCAAACCUGGCUCCAGGGCCUGAGCAAGGGUUCCAGGGAGGGUCUCUGCAUUCGGGGCCACUGCAGUGACCUACUUUAAUUAUUCUCUUAUGCAGUUCCUUUGACUGCCUAUAAUAUGGUAUAGGUUCUCCUAGACUGAAAAUCCUUUGAAGGCAAGAAUUUUUAACUUCAGCGCCUAAUACGGUCCCUGUUACACAGUAGCAGUUUAGUAUAUGUUUAUGGGAUAACUGGAUACACAUACGGUUUCCAGACAAUAUGCCUUCUGUUUGACUCAUUCAGAAUGUACUUGGGCUGGACCCCUAAUUUCAUACAAAGUUCCACGCGUUGACAGAGCAGCUCAGAGGAUGGGGAACCAUGAGCUGGUCUUUACAGGCCUGUACAGUAGACCCUGGCGAAUGCAGACUCAGAUUGUAGUGGCACUGAGAGAAGAUAUCCCCCAUCUCUUCACACUUGGUCCAUGGUCAGCUACUUGCCUCUGACCCACACUUCCCUCCACUCCGCCCCGCACCAGUCCUUUCACAUUUCAUAUAAAAGAAAGAAAGAAUUUUCCCUUUUUUGGAAAGAACUUUGUCUUUCUCUCUCCCACCUAUCCUUGAAAAGUGAUAAUUUGGAAACUCCCCAAAAGAAACUAAAGCAGGCCAUGAUAUGUAAGAAUUUUUAUUUCUUAUUUUUAUUUAUUUAUUUUUUUGAGAGGGAGUUUCGCUCUUGUUGCACAGGCUGUAAUGCAGUGGUAUGAUCUUGGUUCACUGCAACCUCCGCCUCCUGGGUUCAAGUGAUUCUUCUUCCUCAGUCUCCUGAGUAGCUGGGAUUACAGUCACCGGCCACCAUGUCUGGCUAAUUUUUAUAGUUUUAGUAGAGACAGGGUUUCACCAUACUGGUCAGGCUGGUCUCAAACUCCUCACCUAAGGUGAUUCGCCUGCCUUGGCCUCCCAAAGUGCUGGGAUUACCAGGUGUAAGCCACUGCGCCUAGCC
rnacentral:lncRNA from 10 species